rnacentral:rRNA from 1 species
GUGAGUAACACGUAGGCAAAGACCUUAUAGUGUGGGAUAAUCCGGGAAACCGGGGCUAAUACCGAAUAAUCCGUUUCACCUCAUGGCGCAAACUGAAAGACGGUUUCGGCUGUUGCUAGAGGAUGUGCCCGCGGCGCAUUAGCUAGUUGGUGAGGUAACGGCUCACCAAGGCGACGAUGCGUAGCCGACCUGAGAGGGUGAUCGGCCACACUGGGACUGAGACACGGCCCAGACUCCUACGGGAGGCAGCAGUAGGGAAUCUUCCACAAUGCGCGAAAGCCUGAUGGAGCAACGCCGCGUGAGUGAAGAAGGAUAUCGGAUCGUCAAACUCUGUUGUUAGGGAAGAACAAGUACAGAAGUAACUGGCUACCCCUUGACGGUACCUUAUUAGAAAGCCACGGAUAACUACGUGCCUACAGCCGCGGUAAUACGUAGGUGGCAAGCGUUGUCCGGAUUUAUUGAUCGUCAAGCGCGCGCAGGCGGUUUCUUAAGUCUGAUGUGAAAGUCCACGGCUCAACCGUGGAGGGUCAUUGGAAACUGGGAAACUUGAGUGCUGAGAGGAUAGUGGAUUCCAGUGUACCGGUGAAAUGCGUAGAUGAUUAGAGGAACACCAGUGGCCAGGCGACUAUCUGGUCUGUAGCUGACUCUGAGGCUCGAAAGCGUGAAGAGCUAACAGCUUAGAUACUCUGGUACUCCGCGCCGCAACGAUGAGUGCUAGUGUUAAGGGUUUCGGCCCUCAGCGCUGCAGUUAGCGCAUUACGGCAUCAGCUGCGACUUAGGGACGCAAGUACUGAAAGCUCUUGGAAUUGACGAGUGCCCG